rnacentral:snRNA from 1 species
AUGUUUGUUUCGGGUGCAUGUUUUCAGAAAUUAAAAAAAAUGGAGGGAUUAGCAUGCCCCCUACACAAAUAUUACAUGCAUAUUUAUGAAGCAUCCCAUGUUCUU